rnacentral:tRNA from 1 species
GGGGGUGUAGCUCAGGGGCAGAGCAUUUGACUGCAGAUCAAGAGGUUCUUGGUACAAAUCCAGGCACCCCCU